rnacentral:tRNA from 1 species
CAAAAUGUAGCUUACUAAAGCCCCUCGCUUACACCGAGAAGACAUCCGUGCAACCCAGAUCAUUUUGA